UACGUAGGGUGCAAGCGUUGUCCGGAAUUAUUGGGCGUAAAGGGCUCGUAGGCGGUUUGUUGCGUCGGCUGUGAAAUCCCGAGGCUCAACCUCGGGUCUGCAGUCGAUACGAGCAAACUAGAGUGUUGCAGGGGAGACUGGAAUUCCUGGUGUAGCGGUGAAAUGCGCAGAUAUCAGGAGGAACACCGGUGGCGAAGGCGGGUCUCUGGGCAUGUCCUGACGCUGAGGAGCGAAAGUGUGGGGAGCGAACAGG
rnacentral:rRNA from 1 species